AACGGAGGAUGCGAGCGUUAUCCGGAUUUAUUGGGUUUAAAGGGUGCGUAGGCGGAGCUGCAAGUCAGAUGUGAAAUCCCGGGGCUCAACCCCGGAACUGCAUUUGAAACUGUAGCCCUUGAGUAUCGGAGAGGCAGGCGGAAUUCCUAGUGUAGCGGUGAAAUGCGUAGAUAUUAGGAGGAACACCAGUGGCGAAGGCGGCCUGCUGGACGACAACUGACGCUGAGGCGCGAAAGCGUGGGGAGCAAACAGG
rnacentral:rRNA from 1 species